AGGAAGUUCUGUACCCCUUCCCAUAUUGCCCCCAUCCACUUCCGCUUCCUCUUCCAGUACAGAAUCCACCCCCCCUCGUAUUAAAACUCCCCUUCCGGAACCAGGACCAACCCCCAUUAGAUCUGAAUAUCCUGAUUUGGCGCCACUUCAAACUUCAGGUCAAGCUUCUUCUAGCUCGGCUCGGAGUAUACUAUUCACUAACUUUUCCCAAAAUCAAGUUCCCACAUCCUCAUGCCCUAUUACCUCUCGACCGGAACCUUUAACUGACGCCCCUCCACGUAGCCCCAUAUUAACCCGACAACUGAC